GGUACAAAAAAGCCGAAACUUCUUUAAAUAAAGAAGUGCAGGGGAUACUCUUUUGGGGUGAAUUGCUUAUCAAGAUACAUGGAUAAGCAUAGGGUAAACUCCUGAACCCGAACCCGGCAACUAACCUUGUAGGCUAUCAGGAGAGGAGAG
rnacentral:sRNA from 2 species